CGAGCGAAGCGUAUUAGCGGAAGUUUUCGGAUGGAAGCGGAUAUGACUUAGCGGCGGACGGGUGAGUAACGCGUGGAUAACCUGCCUCAUACAGGGGGAUAACAGUUAGAAAUGACUGCUAAUACCGCAUAAGCGCACAGGACCGCAUGGUCCGGUGUGAAAAACUCCGGUGGUAUGGGAUGGAUCCGCGUCUGAUUAGCUGGUUGGUGAGGUAACGGCCCACCAAGGCGACGAUCAGUAGCCGACCUGAGAGGGUGGCCGGCCACAUUGGGACUGAGACACGGCCCAAACUCCUACGGGAGGCAGCAGUGGGGAAUAUUGCACAAUGGGGGAAACCCUGAUGCAGCAACGCCGCGUGAGUGAAGAAGUAUUUCGGUAUGUAAAGCUCUAUCAGCAGGAAAGAAGAAAGACGGUACCUGACUAAGAAGCCCCGGCUAACUACGUGCCAGCAGCCGCGGUAAUACGUAGGGGGCAAGCGUUAUCCGGAUUUACUGGGUGUAAAGGGAGCGUAGACGGCUGUGCAAGUCUGAAGUGAAAGCCCGUGGCUCAACCGCGGAACUGCUUUGGAAACUGUAUAGCUUGAGUACUGGAGAGGCAGGCGGAAUUCCUAGUGUAGCGGUGAAAUGCGUAGAUAUUAGGAGGAACACCAGUGGCGAAGGCGGCCUGCUGGACAGAAACUGACGUUGAGGCUCGAAAG
rnacentral:rRNA from 1 species